rnacentral:rRNA from 1 species
UACAGAGGUGGCAAGCGUUGUUCGGAAUUACUGGGCGUAAAGGGCGCGUAGGCGGUUCGAUAAGUCCCGUGUGAAAUCCCUCGGCUCAACUGAGGAAUGGCACGGGAAACUGACGGGCUUGAGUUCGGGAGAGGGAAGCGGAAUUCCGGGUGUAGCGGUGAGAUGCGUAGAUAUCCGGAGGAACACCGGUGGCGAAGGCGGCUUCCUGGACCGACACUGACGCUGAGGCGCGAAAGCUAGGGGAGCAAACGGG